rnacentral:sRNA from 1 species
AAACAUCAGAAAGGAGGUGAUCCAGUGUCUAAAGAGGUAUUGGAGAAGGGUGUCGGGACAGCUCGGGGGACGCGCGACUGAGGCAGCCCUCGGUGGCAGUGACCUGCGGGUGGAUACGGUCUAACCGGCCCACCUCCUGAUCUUCUGGAAAGGGCCGUCCCAUCGCCGGGGCGGCCCU